UACGAAGGGUGCAAGCGUUGUUCGGAAUUAUUGGGCGUAAAGCGCACGUAGGCGGGUCUUCAAGUCGAGAGUGAAAUCCCUGGGCUCAACCUGGGAACUGCUCUUGAUACUGUCGAUCUUGAAUGCUUGAGGGGAUGGCGGAAUUCCCGGUGUAGAAGUGAAAUUCGUAGAUAUCUGGAGGAACACCGGAGGCGAAGGCGGCCGUCUGGCAAGACAUUGACGCUGAGGUGAGAAAGCGUGGGGAGCAAACAGG
rnacentral:rRNA from 1 species